rnacentral:piRNA from 1 species
UGAGAAUACAGGUGGAUGGAAGAGAGC